CCCCUCCCCGCGGGGAGGAGGGCGGGGGCGCGGAGCCCUCCCCCGGGACAGGGGGGCGUGCGCGUCCCCUCCGCUCCCCUCCCCCCCGGCCGGGCUCUCCUGGCUCCCCGAGGCGGGAGUUUCCAGGAAGAGCUCAGAGCGCGGCCGCACCACCGAGCGCACGGAGACAUCAAGUAGUCCCUCAGAGCGACCUUAUUAGAGAAUUCUAGCUGCCAGGGGCAGUCAGAGUCGCAACUCCGAAGAGAUAGGGGGUGACAGCCGGCCUGAGGGCCUCAGGGAAAGAGGUCCGAGCUCCCACUUUGCAUUGCCGGAGAAAGACGUGUGGGGGAGGCGGAACGAGUUCCGGCGGAGGGCUCGGGCGCGCCCGGUGGAGUGAAGCGCCGCGCAGUCGAAGCGCUCACGGAGUUAAAGUGGGCGGGAAAACCCGGAACGGACUCUCCCUGACACGCCCAGGACCUCCCGUCCCAUUUUUCGUGGGGGAGGGGACGAAAAAAAGCAACGGAGAGAAACGUGUUUCCUUUCCCGGCUACCUAAACCCCCACUGGAGAAAAAAGUGAUGACCCGCCACCACGGGAAGCCACAGUACAUUCACCAAGCCUUCUAAAGAUGACUUUUCUGGCUGCUGCUACUGACUCCAUUCUUUGCGGGAUCCUGGAGAGAGAGACAGAGCAUGAGCAUAGGAGGAGCAGAGCGGAGGAGGAGCAGAGCAAGAGAGGGACACAGAAUUGGAAGCAGGCUCCAGGCUCCGAGCGAGCUUCCAGCCCAAGAGCCCGCCACGGGGCUCAAACUCACAAGCCGUGAGAUCAUGACCUGAGCCGAAGUCGGCCGCUCAACUGACUGAGCCACCCAGGUCACGCCAUCUCAAGGUCUUUUUAUGUACUCUCAAGAAAAUUGUAUAUUUUCUGGAACGCCUGGCUGGCUUAGUCAGUGGAGCAUGUAACUCUUGAUCUUGGAGUUGUGGGUUUGAGUCCCACACUGGGUGUAGAGGUUACUUAAAAAUAAAAAAUAAUAAACAAAUAAACAA